AUGCUAAGCUUGUCCAGGGACUACUGACUUGAAGCCUUGAACUUAUAGUACAACCGAGCUUAUAGUAAAACCAUGCUAUUCAUGAUGCCCUUGAAGUAUUGUAGCAGCAAUUGCAUACAGGAGAGGCAUCAAGGCAUAGGGGAGUGACAGCGAAAGUAAAGGCUGUUGUUGAUGCAACUUCUGCUGGCAUCUUCAUUGUCAUCACAAAGUGUGUUCUUCAAGACUUGGUUGGUUUCAACAUUUUACUAAAUUUUGUUAGAAAACUAGUUCUGUUGAUGUAAUGACUUUGUUGGAUAUAUGGAUGAAUGUAUCGGAUUUUAACAUAAAUGAAUGUGUUUUGGAUGUGAUGUCA